AUCCAGCCAACGAGUCCCAAAUAGAACGAAACGCGCGUUAAACUGGAU
rnacentral:hammerhead_ribozyme from 1 species